UGAACUGGUUGCCAGCCAAUCACAGGGCACAUAGAGACAAAGAGCCACACUCCCAAUCACAGCUAAGGGGAAUUUAGCGUCCAAUUAAUGUUGCAUGUUUUAGGGAUGUGGGAGGAAACCGGAGUGCCCGGAAAAAAAAAACCCACACAGGCAAGGGGAGAACAUGGAAACUCCACACAGGCGGGUCCAAGAUUGAACCCGGGAUCUCAGAACUGUGAGGUCAACGCUUUACAGCUGCUCCACAGGCCGCCAUCUUUGAAGCAAUAUGUGUGAAUCACAACCAACCUUAUCACUGAGUCAAGGAAACCGUGAAGAUUUUAUCGCAUUUGCUUCCAUCCAUUGAAAAAAAAGCGGCAUGAAGUUACUUUUCAUUCCAAAAUGCUGAGCUCCAGGGUAUACCCUUCAAAAUAAGAGUCGAGAAAUUUUUGAGGGAGGCAUUUCCAAUCAUAAGGCAAGAAGAUUUUAAUUUCGUUUUGAGGUACAAGUGAAUUACUCUUCACGGUAAUCCUUGAAUAAGAAAUGUAGGAAAGAACCCUGACCCACCACAGUCAUCUGCCUCAUCCAAGACGGUCCAGACGGAGUCUGCGUAUCAACAGGAAGUGGAGCGACUGGAGCUGAGCAUGACUUCCCAGUUCUAAUCCAUUUGGUUUCCUUUUGGCGUCUGGGGCAAAGUUUGCAUUGUUUAAACGGUGUCUCAAUUAUGGACUCUGAUCCUACAGCAUAGACUGAAAUGAACAUUAGACUUGGUUCUCUAGCAGUAUCAAUCUCAAACCUAUGAACCAAAAGGCAGCGUGUGUGGGGAAAAAAAACUCAUUUAUGUUUCAACUAAGUUAAAUAGCAUUGAAAUUAAUUGUGACUGUUAGAUCACAUUAACUUCCUGUUUUAAGCUGGUAGACUUGAAGUAGAAUCCGCUUGUUCAUUGUUGCAUAGUUGGUUGUUGACGGCGCCUUGUCAUCGAGUAAUGUACAAUUUAUGAGCAAACAAAUUUAAAGUUGAUACUCUGAAUACAAGUAAAUAAGCAUAUUCAAUCCCUUAUAGUGAGUAUAAUUAUAAAUUGUGACGUCUCAUUUAGGCAGUGCAGUGAUUCAGCUUGUAAUGUGUCGGCCUCACAGUUCUGAGGACCCGGGUUCGAUCCCGGGCCCGCCUGUGUGGAGUUUGCAUGUUCUCCCCGUGCCUGCGUGGGUUUCCUUUGGGCACUCCGGUUUCCUCCCACAUCCCAAAAACAUGCAGCAUUAAUCAGACACUCUAAAUUGCCCCUCGGUGUGAUUGUAAGUGCGACUGUUUGUCUCUAUGUGCCCUGCGAUUGCCUGGCAACCGGUUCAGGGUGUACCCCGCCUCCUGCCCGUUGACAGCUGGGAUAGGCUCCAGCAAUCCCCGCGACCCUCGUGAGGAUAAGCGGCAAAGAAAAUGGAUGGAUGGUUGUCUCAUUUAGGAAUCGUGCAUACAACUGUGAUUUAUUUGUAUAUAAGACUAUUGACAUAAACUAUUCAGAAGCAAAUAUUUAAAAUAUAUACGCCGGUGUAAUAUGGCUGUUGAAUGUCAAAACAAUAAUGUCAUAAUUGAGUGUCAACAAUGUCAUAAUUCCAAGCUUAAAUAAUAUAUUUGGCCUGCUUCAUGUUUUCAGUUCUAAUAAACAAUUGGGACUUGUAUUAUUUUUGUCUGCCUUCGGGAAGAAUCUCGUCACUGCUUGCACCUUUGGUCGAGUAUUGGCUGCAGUUGGAUGCAACUCUUCCCCUCCCUCACUCUGCAGGACUUUGCCAGGCCAAUACAAAAUUAAAGAAGGAAUCAAGGCUGUAGAGUGGGGGAUCCUUCAUGAACCUGUCACUCUUGCAGAGUACACACGCAUCACUGGCCAGCCUGGAUCGCCAGCAGGACUCGGACUCUCUCCAAGUGGUGUUCUUGGAGCGUCACCGGAUGGAAUCGUUGAGGUCAAGUGGGCCUGGUCAGCCAGAGAUGAAACACCCACCCCAGCAAGCGGCUGAGAGGAAGGACUUCGAUAAGGUUACUGGCUCAUUGAAGCUAAAAAGGCAUCAAAUACAGCGUCGUCUGUUCCAAGUGUGACUUUGUGGUGUGGACACUUAAAGGCACAGAAAUCAUUCCCGUGACGAGGGAUCCAUCCUGGGCUUAUACAAAAAUCGCUAAUAUAUUUUACAGAUCUUUCACUACAGAUGAAUUUGUUGACAUGACAUAAAAAGAAAUCUUUGAACCCAGGAAAUUUGCAUUUUUUUUUGUCCCCCAUGAAAUCAUCACUAAUACAAGUAUAUGAAGUAUUUCUGGAUUCACAGUAGAUCGUCAUCAACAAAAAUUACAACUCACCGUUGACAUUAAUCCACCCACCCAUCAUUCCAUGCAUGAAUAAACCCAGGCACUAACAUUGAAUCCUCGCACAUGUGCCAAGGAUGUCAUGAAUUUAAGUUUGUGAAUAAUAUAACAGCACCAUCUUACUAACUACCAAAAACAAAAAUGGAUCUUUGCAUCUGAAAAGACAUCAAAUAUUCUCUCAGAUACAGUCAUUCACACAACACACAUUACAAAUUGAUAUUAAUUGACAUGGUUGUAAAUCAGAGAACCAGUCAUUUAUUGUUAUAAAUUUAACACCGACACCAUCUUGCUUUUACCGCAGCCAACUUUCGAGACCAGAUGGAAACGGGCUUUGAUUUGUCGCUUACUUGUCAGGGAGCUGUUUUAUUUCAGCUGGUGGUCACGUUGUAAAUUUUGAGUUGAGCGUAAGUCAUCAGGAGACACGGUAAAGUGUUGGCCUCACGGUUCUGAGGUCCAAAGUUCGAUCCUGUCCCUGUCUGUGUGGAGUUUGCAUGUUCUCCCCGUGCUUGUGUUGGUUCACGACUUUCACUUCUGCUAUUUUUCAGUGCAAAGAAAAUUAUGGUCAAUAUCUGGGUUGCUUUCUUUCAUGAGAGUUCAACCACAGGAUGAAAAUGUUUCCAUUAAACACUGUACACUUUAAAAAUGUCACAUAUGAAAUUAAAUAUUUAUCUUUUACUGAGAGAACAGUCAGUUUCUUCAAUGUCACCCUCUGCUUUUUUUUUUGGGAUCUUGCAUCGUGCACAGUUUUUUUUUAUACAGCAAUACUGUAAUUUAAUGUGUUGUGUCUGACCAGCUGUAAAGAUGAAAGCAAACAUGUUGUUACGUAAUCAGCUUUACAAACAAAUUUGAUUUGAGGGAUUCCAAGAGGGGUGGCACGGUGGCUCAGCUGGGAAACCGUUGGCCUCACAGUUCCGUGGGUUCAAUCCCAGACCCGCCUGUAUGGAGUUCGCAUGUUCUUCCUGUGCCUGCGUGGGUUUCCUCAGGGCGCUCCGGUUUCCUCCCACAUUCCAAAAACAUGGAACAUUAGUUGGACACUCUAAAUUACCCCUCGGUGUUAUUGUGAGUGUGGCUGUUUGUCUCAAUGUGCCCUGCGAUUGGCUGGCAACCAGUUCAGGGUGUAUCCCGCCUCCUGCCCGUUGACAACUGGGAUAAGCUCCAGCACUCCCCGCGAUCCUCGUGAGGAUAAGCGGUGAAGAAAAUGGAUGGAUGGGUGGAUUCCAAGAGCUUGUACCACAUUUCCCCCCAAAACCCAAAACUCGUCGGAAACUUUUGAGUGGAUGUUGGACACAUACUGACAAAAGAUUUCAAAAGUAAUCACAUUUAUCACUAAAGGAGAAGUAGAUAUUAAGGUUUGAGGAGGCCUUUGUAAAAUUUGAUAACAAUUCAAGCUUGUUUCCCAAGUAAACCUGGAAGAGUUUGAAAAUGACACAAGUAUAAAAGUAAAAGUAACACAAGGGGAAUCUGUUAAGUGCAGCACAUUUGAAAGGAGUUCUUUUCUCAAUCCAUCAAUCGGAAAACCUGUUCCACGUCCGGCCACGGUGGUCCAAGGGUCGGUUGGCCAUUCUGGCAAUCAACCUCCUUGCUGCUGGGACUUCGGUCUGAGUUCUCUGCCACGGAUGUCUUCAGGCCGAGGCUGCACAUCUGUUUGCAAGGA